CAACUACUCCCUCCGACCGAAAAUACUUGUUAUUGAAAUGGAUGUAUCUAGAUGUAUUUUAGUUGUAGGUACAUCCAUUUUCAUUCAUUUUGAUGACAAGUAAUUUCGAACGGAGGGAGUAUGUG
rfam:Triticum urartu cultivar G1812 contig802747, whole genome shotgun sequence.